rnacentral:rRNA from 1 species
UAUUGCGCAAUGGGCGAAAGCCUGACGCAGCGACGCCGCGUGGGGGAUGACGGCCUUCGGGUUGUAAACCUCUUUCGACCGGGACGAAGCGUGAGUGACGGUACCGGUAGAAGAAGCACCGGCUAACUCCGUGCCAGCAGCCGCGGUAAGACGGAGGAGGCUAGCGUUGUUCGGAAUUACUGGGCGUAAAGCGUGCGCAGGUUGUAAGUUCAGUCUGAUGUGAAAGCCCGGGGCUCAACCUCGGAUGUGCAUUAGAUACUGGCUUGCUGGAGGUUGGAAGAGGAGAGUGGAAUUCCCAGUGUAGAGGUGAAAUUCGUAGAUAUUGGGAAGAACACCAGUGGCGAAGGCGGCUCUCUGGUCCACACCUGACACUCAAGCACGAAAGCGUGGGGAGCAAAC